rnacentral:rRNA from 1 species
AUUGAACGCUGGCGGCAGGCCUAACACAUGCAAGUCGAGCGGAUGAAGGGAGCUUGCUCCUGGAUUCAGCGGCGGACGGGUGGGUAAUGCCUACGAAUCUGCCUGGUAUUGGGGGAUAACGUCCGGAAACGGGCGCUAAUACCGCAUACGACCUGAGGGAGAAAGUGGGGGAUCUUCGGACCUCACGCUAUCAGAUGAGCCUAGGUCGAAUUAGCUAGUUGGUGGGGUAAAGGCGUACCAAGGCGACGAUCCGUAACUGGUCUGAGAGGAUGAUCAGUCACACUGGAACUGAGACACGGUCCAGACUCCUAGGGGAGGCAGCAGUGGGAAACAUUGGCCAAGGGGCGAAAGCCUGAUCCAGACAUGCGGCGUGUGUGAAGAAGGUCUUCGGAUUGUAAAGCCCUUUAAGUUGGGAGAAAGGGCAGUAAGUUAAUACCUUGCUGUUUUGACGUUCCCAACAGAAUAAGCACCGGCUAACUUCGU